UGUGUUCUGCUCGCCCGUCGCGCCUUUUUUUUCUUUCUUUUUCUUGUUCUCCUAGUCGCGGUCUUGUUUUGGCGGCAGGCUUGGUGAGCUGGGGCCGGAAUGCCUGUGAGGGUCAUUGUUUCCGCCUGGCUAAGUUCAGCGCGCUAAGCUUUUCCUGCUCUCCCUUUUUCAUGUUCCCCCUCUCAGGCGCUUCCCCCCCGCCCCCCGCUGGUCUUUUUUCGGUCCAUUCCCCCCCGCUUCCCUUUUCCGGUUUCGCCCCCGGGUGCAGCCUUUUUUUCUUCAACCGCUUUCCGCUGCCGUUUUCCGAUUUCUUCUACCUUUCUCCGGAAGUUUGCACUCGUGCGUAGUCUGGUUCCCGGUGGUGGCCAGCUCUUCUAAACCUUUACCUCUCAAAGAGCUUUGUCCUCCUCCCCGCGCCCGGCCGUUUACGUUGUACACGCCCGCCCCCCCCUCCCCCCCCCCGCCGCCUUGCCAGUCCUUGUGCUUUCUGUCCAGCUAGCUGCAGCUCAUUUCGCUUUUGAAGGUUUAGCUCCUGGCUGUCUCUCUCUGAGACACUUCUGUCAUUCCUGGUUUUGAAGGUCUAAAUAUCCGAAUCCGGCGACAUCCUCCAAAUGCAACGGACUGCUCAUUGGCUGUCCUACCCGGCCUGUGAAAUAAUUGCUUCUCCAGUAUUUCCAAUACAUCUCCAACAGGUGUGUUCCUGGUGGUCUUUGGCUGGAUGGCGUUGACAAGUUAUUAAGAGGGUCCACCGAUGGACCCAUAUGGGAACUGCGACAUGGAAUGCGUUUUAUUCUAACAAGCAAAGUCCCCCCCCCCCCCGUUGGAAGACCUGUAAACGAGAAUACAAGUCAUGAAAUACCACUAUUUACAAAUAGAACUGCUCAAAAGAGAAACUAGAAAAAAAAGAGAAAAGGUUGUUGAUCUCAUAACUCCCAGAGCAAGACAGCUUAGUAAAAGGGUAGAGGGAUGGAUAUAUAUGUAUCUGCAUCUGUGUCGGUGUAUGUACAGUACGCAACAGAUCCAUGAUGUUAUGUGGUGGGUGCUCACGGUAGAAAUCUUUCAACGUUGCUGUACGUGCGAAAAGAAAUUUAAGAAGAAAAAAAUGCUGCCAAGAAAAACCUCACAGAGCUAUUUGUCUCGUUCUGGGCUUUCUCCAAGGAAAUGAGACUUGAGGCAGCUUUCCCGCUACAGGCGCGUUUCCCUUUCAAGGCGAGAGAGAGAGAGAGAGAGAGAGAGAGAGAGAGAGAGAGCGCGAGCGCGCGCGAGCGAGCGCGAGCCGGCGCUGACGGCAGGAAACCAGGAAACGGCGCGUGUGUGGGCGGGACAUGCAAAUUAAAGUGGCUGUUUCUCUGGCGAGCUAUGGGAGCAAAACAAUAAAAAGCGUGAAAGCCCCGAACAAGUUAAGCGAUCUGAUAAACUGAGUAUGUCUUAGGAGUUGUGACGAUGACAGACUGUCCAGUCUAAGGAAAGAGGGUGAGCCUUCGUUUGAGGGUGACUUUUCUCACCGUGAUCCAAAGGAGGAGUGAGAGGGAGGGUGUCGAUGCGCUGGGGAGGACGUGGUUAUCGCUUCUCGGCCUUUUGGCUAAGAUCAAGUGUAGUAUCUGUUCUUAUCAGUUUAAUAUCUGAUACGUCCUCUAUCCGAGGACAAUAUAUUAAAUGGAUUUUUGGAGCCGGGAGAUGGAAUAGGAGCUUGCUCCGUCCACUCCGCGCAUCGACCUGGUAUUGCAGUACUUCCAGGAACGGUGCACC